rnacentral:snRNA from 1 species
GGAUGUGAGGGUGAACUGGUUGCAACAUUGUCACCCCACUGACCACCAGGAUUGAUUUGACCUACCUGGCUGGCUGGGGCGGGAGUUAUCCCUUUCCUCCCUCCCUCUCCAUGUGUGCCCUUCUAGAUGUUGCAUGUCAGGUCAGAGCUUUGUAGAAGAGGACUGUUUUCUGGUCAAGCAUGUAGGACUAACUGCUAGAACCUGAGGGCACAGGGGGCUUUAUAUCCAAUACCACAGUACUCACCAGUAGGGGAGGGACUUU